rnacentral:lncRNA from 1 species
GCGAAUAUAAGAAGUAUUUCGUGAAGGCCGUAGACACGGUGAAGCUGGAAAUUUUCAGAUUCUCAGCUUUCUAAGUUUUUGGUGUUUCUUUCUUCUUUUUGUGUUUAUAAUUGUUUCUCACUAUUGAGUUUAGAUUUGUUGCUUUUUGUGGGCUGGUCAAUGUGUGAAUUUGUUGAAUUUGAGUAAUUUUGUUUUGAAGAUAUUCUUAACUGUAUAUAUGCAAUAUUGUAACAACACUCAAAAGUAAUAGCACCGAAUGAAUCAUUUUUGUGGAAGAUUAUUUGAUAGAGAGAUGGAGUCGAUUUUUAAGUUUCGAUUUUUCAUUUCCGCAGAAGGCUUUAUUUUUUGGCAUAUCAAAGGUUACAACAUGGUCACUUUACAUACAAGCGAAGAAGGAGAUGAAAUAUCUUUUAAUGGGAACGCCAG